rnacentral:rRNA from 1 species
GACGAACGCUGGCGGCGUGCCUAAUACAUGCAAGUAGGACGCAGUUGCGAACGGGUGAGUAACGCGUAGGUAACUACAUCUUAACGGGGGAUAACUAUUGGAAACGAUCGCUACACCCGCAUACUCGUAGAUGGCCCUGCGUUGUAUUAGCUAGUAGGUAGUGUAAUUGCCUACCUAGGCAACGAUACAUAGCCGACGUGAGAAGGUGAUCGGACAAACGUGGACUGAGAAACGGCCCAGGCGCCUACGGGAGGCAGCAGUAGGGAAUCUUCGGCAAUGGGGGGAACCCUGACCGAGCACAGCCGGGUGAGUGAAGAAGGGUUGCGGAUCGGAAAGCUCUGUUGUUAAGGAAGCGGUACUUAACCAGAAAGGGACGGCUAACUACGUGCCAGCAGCCGCGGUAAUAC